AAGAGCAGCAGAUAAUCACUAGAGCACUUGCAUCUUAAAAGCAAUGAGGACAGACGCUAAAAAAGAGUGGGGUUGUCAAAAAGGCCAAAUGCUUGCAGAAUGUCAAGUAGGGAGAGGUCUGAGAAAAGUAGUCAUGUUUUAAGAAGAAAAGAACCAGGAAACAGACUUUUCCAGGACUAUCUUCCUUGAUUCAAUUUGUUACGUGACAUGAAACAUACAGAUAGAGACCUCUUUAAUUUUACAGUAAAUCGUGUGAUUAAGGUGCUGUUCUAUUGCUAUGAGCUCAUAGACUGAAAGGAUCUGUCUUGUCUUGGAUGAAACUUUGGACUUGGACUUUUGAGUUAAUGCUGGGAUGAGUUAAGACUUUGGGGGACUGUUGGGAAUGCAUGAUUGGUUUUGAAAUGUGAAAAGGACAUGAGAUUUGGGAGGGGCCAAGGGAAGAAUGAUAUGGUUUGGCUCUGUGUCCCCACCCAAAUCUGAUCUCAAAUUGUAAUCCCCAUGUGUCAGAGGAGGCACCUGGUGGGAGGUGACUGAAUCAUGGGGCAGACUUCCCCCUUGCUGUUAUUGUGAUAGUGAGUGAGUUCUCAUGAGAUCUGAUGGUUCAAAAGUGUGUGGCACUUUCCCCUUCCUUUCCCUCUUCUCCUUCUGCUAUGAUUGUAAGUUUCCUGAGGCCUCUCGGCCAUGCUUCCUGUACAGCCUGUGGAAAUGGGAGUCAAUUAAACCUUU
rnacentral:lncRNA from 10 species